rnacentral:ncRNA from 1 species
GCUCAUUACGGUGUGACGUCGCUUUUUGAUCCGAUAUCGGCUCUUCCUAUCAUUGUGAAGCAGAAUUCACAAGCGUUGGAUUGUUCACCCAUUAUAGGGAACAUGAACUGGGUUUAGACCGUCGUGAGACAAGUU